UACGAAGGGAGCUAGCGUUGUUCGGAUUUACUGGGCGUAAAGGGCGCGUAGGCGGUUUAGUAAGUUGGAUGUGAAAGCCCUGGGCUCAACCCGGGAAUUGCAUUCAAAACUACUUUACUUGAAUUCGGUAGAGGUUGGUAGAAUUCCCAGUGUAGAGGUGAAAUUCGUAGAGAUUGGGAAGAAUACCCGUGGCGAAGGCGGCCAACUGGACCGACAUUGACGCUGAGGCGCGAAAGCGUGGGUAGCAAACAGG
rnacentral:rRNA from 1 species